rnacentral:lncRNA from 1 species
GUCCAAUCAACUGAAAUAAAAGAGAUACCUGAAAAUGAUGUUAAAAAAAUAACUUCUCUCUCUCUUUUUUUAUUUUUAUUUUUUUUGUUUAACUUGCAAAAUCAAAUAAGCAAACAAGUACAAGCUAAGGCCCAAACACUACUAGAUGUCCAAACUACCCAUCAUUCCCUGUACACAUAGCAAUUGAGGCCCAAAAUACAAAAAACUAAAAAUAAAAGCAAGGACUAUAGACUACAGCCCAAACAAAAUCUACAUUUGGGGGUGACGAUCGCGAGGUGGAAGUUUUGGGCGAUGCGAAUUGCUCGAUACCGGAAGCGACGGAACCUGAGACGGCUGUCGUCCGAUGACAAAGUGGCUACAGUGUGGAUUCUCUGUGGAUGGAGUUAAGUGGGUCAUUGAAUUUUGUAGCUUGAGCUGUGGUUGAAGUAUGCAAUUGCUGGUUCAUAUAUUGUGGGGAAUCUACAUGGGAUAAUCUUAUGGUGGUAUGAUGAAAAUUGAAGUAGAGGUAGAUGACAAGAGUUGUAGCCGUGUUGGUGGGUGUUUGCAAAAUUUCGGGGACUCGGGUUGGGGGAAGUUAAGGCCUGUACAGUUGCGCAGUUGAAGGUGAUUUGAGCCUGGACAAUUGCAAUUGUAGGUUUCCUUGGUUUAAGCGUAGCACCGACAGUAGAUGGUUGUAUGUAGAGAAGUAGUUAUAUGUAAUGGUAGAUGUGUAAAUUUCAGUGCGUGAAUUGUGAAGUUUUAGGCAAUAUGUUGUUGGAUGAAGACGUGGGGGUAAGUGGAGUCGGUUUGGGAGUUGGUUGAAGACAUGGGAAGGCUGUCUUGUGCAGACGGCUUUGGUGCGAUGGGUUUGUGAAAUUAAAAUUGGAGAGUGGGUUGAAGGUUCAUGGAGUUAACAAUCAGGGAUGAUUGUAUGGUAGUGGGUAUUGGUAGUUACGGAAUGUGGUCGGGUGGUGUUACGAUGCGUUUGGCUAGAUGUUUGUGUGUGGGUUGCAGAGGAUGGAUGUAUCAACUUCUAGUCAGGGAUUUACGGUAUUGAAUAGCAUGGUUUUGUAUCACUUCCAUGGCAAUUUUGACUCCAAUUGUCAGCGAAAGAAAAUGAAAACCAGGUUAGACUCUGAUACCAAUAAUUGAUGUAGAAUGAAUUAAGAAGCAGCAAUAAAGAGAGGAAGAGGGAUUACAUAGAGGGGAAAGAGGGAGAAGAAGGAGAGAACGAGGGAAGACGAGAGAAUUCUACAACAACACAAAUAAUCUUUCAUUCAUCAAACUACUUUUCCCAUCCAAAUUACAAUCAUAAAUAACAAAAUAGUAAACUUGGGCUUGAGCCAAACCCAUAUACAAGCCCAAUGAAACAUAAGGCCUGAAAUAAAUAAAUAGAGAUAAAAUAGCCUGAUGAGGAUGAUGUCCGCAUAAGAUAUUAUUCGGGAUUAAAUAAAAAUUUUAAAUAAGAUACCUUAGUAGAUGGAGUGAUAUUAUUCAGCUCCAUUGAUGUUAAGCAUAAGUCUAG